ACCUGGCUGACUCAGUCGGUAGAGCAUGGGACUCUUGAUCUCAGGGCUGUAAGUUCAAGCCCCACGUUGGGUG
rnacentral:tRNA from 1 species